rnacentral:rRNA from 1 species
GGGCCCGCACAAGCGGUGGAGCAUGUGGUUUAAUUCGAUGAUACGCGAGGAACCUUACCAGGACUUAAAUGUAAGUUGCAUGAUUCAGAAAUGGAUCUUUCUUCGGACUACUUACAAGGUGCUGCAUGGUUGUCGUCAGCUCGUGCCGUGAGGUGUCAGGUUAAGUCCUAUAACGAGCGCAACCCCUAUCGUUAGUUGCCAUCAAGUAAAGUUGGGAACUCUAGCGAAACUGCCGGUGCAAACCGUGAGGAAGGUGGGGAUGACGUCAAAUCAUCACGGCCCUUACGUCCUGGGCCACACACGUGCUACAAUGGUCAGUACAGAAAGCAGCCACUAUGCGAAUAGGAGCUAAUCUCAGAAAGCCGGUCAUAGUCCGGAUUGCAGUCUGCAACUCGACUGCAUGAAGUCGGAAUCGCUAGUAA